rnacentral:rRNA from 1 species
AGAACGAACGCUGGCGGCAGGCUUAACACAUGCAAGUCGAGCGAGAACCAGGGCUUGCCCUGGGGAAAGCGGCGAACGGGUGCGUAACACGUGAGCAACCUGCCCCAAAGACCGGGACAACCCGAGGAAACUCGGACUAAUACCGGAUGCCCUCACCGGGCCGCAUGGUCUGGUGAGGAAAUGGAUUCCGCUUUGGGAUGGGCUCGCGGUCUAUCAGCUUGUUGGUGGGGUAACGGCCUACCAAGGCGACGACGGAUAGCUGGUCUGAGAGGACGAUCAGCCACACUGGGACUGAGACACGGCCCAGACUCCUACGGGAGGCAGCAGUGGGGAAUCUUGCGCAAUGGGGGAAACCCUGACGCAGCGACGCCGCGUGCGGGAUGAAGGCCUUCGGGUUGUAAACCGCUUUCAGCAGGGACGAAUUGACGGUACCUGCAGAGAAGGCCGGCCAACUACGCGCCAGCAGCCGC